rnacentral:rRNA from 1 species
UACUCUUGACAUCCAGAGAAGCCAGCGGAGACGCAGGUGUGCCUUCGGGAGCUCUGAGACAGGUGCUGCAUGGCUGUCGUCAGCUCGUGUUGUGAAAUGUUGGGUUAAGUCCCGCAACGAGCGCAACCCUUAUCCUUGUUUGCCAGCGAGUCAUGUCGGGAACUCCAGGGAGACUGCCGGUGAUAAACCGGAGGAAGGUGGGGACGACGUCAAGUCAUCAUGGCCCUUACGAGUAGGGCUACACACGUGCUACAAUGGCGCAUACAGAGGGCAGCAAGCUAGCGAUAGUGAGCGAAUCCCAAAAAGUGCGUCGUAGUCCGGAUUGGAGUCUGCAACUCGACUCCAUGAAGUCGGAAUCGCUAGUAAUCGUGAAUCAGAAUGUCACGGUGAAUACGUUCCCGGGCC